GCCCGGGGCUGCGAGCGAGGGCCGAGGGGCCGCGGGAGCCGAGCCCGCCCCGGGCCCGCUCGCAGAGCGACUGCCGCCUCGGGGAGCCGCUUCUGUCCCCGGCCCUGUGAAAAGUUUUCCCGUAGGAAAGGAAACUUCUGCCGUGGGGGAAAGAAAAAGAAAAGAAAAAGAAGAAAAGAAGAGCCAGGAGGAUAGGUUGUUCAGUUUACUACCGGAGACCUGACUGUGACAGACCACCAAGAAAACAAAAUUUAUCAAGAGAGUAAAGAAGACCUUCUGCAGCAUCUGCAAGUCUCUCCUUUUUUCUUCAGAGUUACGUAGGAUAACUUAGCCAGAACUUAUUGAUGUCUGCAUGUUCAGUGGACUCGGGAAUGACUGGGAGAUGCAGAAACAUACUCUUUGGAAGAAACAGAAGAGGAGGCAUUUCAAAGAUCCUGCAGGUGACAAAGGUCCUUGUAAAACAUACAGGUAUGGCUGCUCUGCUCUGGUUUUGCUUCAGAGGAAGAACAAACCUUGAGGAAAAUGGAAAAGGAGCACUGCAUGUUUCUGCUGCCUCUCCUGACUCCAGGGCCAAUGAAGGUUGUACCAUUUUUGAGAACCACCCUAGAAUACGUGCAAAAUUGAGCGUGUUUAGAGGCAUCUCUUGCCAGCAAAUCUGUGCACUUGGUUUUUUCCAUGGACUGUAG
rnacentral:lncRNA from 1 species